rnacentral:rRNA from 1 species
AGUGAACGCUGGCGGUAGGCCUAACACAUGCAAGUCGAACGGCAGCACAGUAAGAGCUUGCUCUUACGGGUGGCGAGUGGCGGACGGGUGAGGAAUACAUCGGAAUCUACUUUUUCGUGGGGGAUAACGUAGGGAAACUUACGCUAAUACCGCAUACGACCUACGGGUGAAAGCAGGGGAUCUUCGGACCUUGCGCGAUUGAAUGAGCCGAUGUCGGAUUAGCUAGUUGGCGGGGUAAAGGCCCACCAAGGCGACGAUCCGUAGCUGGUCUGAGAGGAUGAUCGGCCACACUGGAACUGAGACACGGUCCAGACUCCUGCGAGAGGCAGCAGUGGGGAAUAUUGGACAAUGGGCGCAAGCCUGAUCCAGCCAUACCGCGUGGGUUAAGAAGGCCUUCGGGUUGUAAAGCCCUUUUGUUGGGAAAGAAAAGCAGCAGGUUAAUACCCCGCUGUUCUGACGGUACCCAAAGAAUAAGCACCGGCUAACUUCGUG